AUUGAACGCUGGCGGCAUGCUUUACACAUGCAAGUCGAACGGCAGCGGGGUAGUGCUUGCACUACUGCCGGCGAGUGGCGAACGGGUGAGUAAUAUAUCGGAACGUACCGAGUAAUGGGGGAUAACCAAUCGAAAGAUUGGCUAAUACCGCAUACGUCCUGAGGGAGAAAGCGGGGGAUCGCAAGACCUCGCGUUAUUCGAGCGGCCGAUAACUGAUUAGCUAGUUGGUGGGGUAAAGGCCUACCAAGGCGACGAUCAGUAGCGGGUCUGAGAGGACGAUCCGACACACUGGGACUGAGACACGGCCCAGACUCCUACGGGAGGCAGCAGUGGGGAAUUUUGGACAAUGGGGGCAACCCUGAUCCAGCCAUGCCGCGUGUAUGAAGAAGGCCUUCGGGUUGUAAAGUACUUUUGUUAGGGAAGAAAAGGGAAGUGCUAAUACCACUUUUUGCUGACGGUACCUAAAGAAUAAGCAUCGGCUAACUACGUG
rnacentral:rRNA from 1 species